CUGUCUGUAAAGCUAGAAUGGUUCCAGCAGGAUUCAUUUCAUACAGCGUUACUUGUAGCUCUGGUUAAAGCACUGUCCUAUUAAUAGCAGUGCGUGUGCUGUGCAGCAGGCUGCCUCUCCCUUCUUCCUCCGCCUGUGGGUGUUCAGGUGUGUCUGCCCCUCCUGUUUGUAGAAUUGAUACCCUGGGGGUAGAAAGCGCGUGCCUCUCUGACU